UAUGGCCAUAUUAUGAUGAAACACCAGUUCUCAUCUGAUUACUGAAGUUAAGUAACAUUGAGCUUGGUCAGCACCUAGAUGGGUGACUGCUUGGGAAUACCAGAUGCUGUAAG